rnacentral:rRNA from 1 species
AUUGAACGCUGGCGGCAUGCCUAACACAUGCAAGUCGAGCGAGCGGCGGACGGGUGAGUAAUGUGUGGGAAACUGCCUGAUGGAGGGGGAUAACUACUGGAAACGGUAGCUUAUACCGCAUACCAUCAGAUGUGCCCAGAGGGGAUUAGCUGGUAGGUGGGGUAACGGCUCACCUAGGCGACGUUCCCUAGCUGGUCUGAGAGGAUGACCAGCGACACUGGAACUGAGAAACGGUCCAGACUCCUAAGUGAGGCAGCAGUGGGGAAUAUUGCACAAUGGGCGCAAGCCUGAUGCAGCCAUGCCGCGUGUGUGAAGAAGGCCUUCGGGUUGUAAAUCACUUUCAGCGGGGAGGCGUUACCCGCAGAAGAAGCACCGGCUAACUCCGUGCCAGCAGCCGCGGUAAUAC